rnacentral:lncRNA from 1 species
CCUUUUGUCCAUUUAUUUUCACUGAACCUUCAAAGGGUGAAGGGGAAGGUUUUCCUUGGCCCCUACAGUUUUUGGUACUGUGAGCAGGAUAAUCAGAACUAUCCUGCUGUUCUGAAAGCUGCAGUCAAGGUUACCCAGAACCUGACAAGCCAGCAGAAGGGCACAAAUUUCUUACCAGUGAGAUUCCUGGGUGUCUGUCUGUGAAAUCCAGUGAAGCAGAUGGGUCCCAAGACCUCCAUUCCAGAGAGGGCCCUGCCCGAGACUCAGAAGGAAGGAAUGCUCCGCAGAAAGGCCAAGAAGAAUCUAACCAGACAGGCCUUGCUGCAUUUCCCCGCUCAGUCUAUUACCAUUAUAUUACACAUUUUUUGUCCAAUCAUAUUUCUACAUGGCUGUCCAUACAUUGUUAAACCUAGCAUAAAAAUGGACAACUUUCCCUGCAUCUUUAGGUCUUCAUUAGAAGGCUGCUGUGUCACAUAAAACUAUGACCCAAUAAAUUUAUAUGCCUUUUCUUCUAUUAACCUGCCUUUAGUCA